UCUCUCUCUCUCUCUCCAUCUUUACCACGUAAAAAACCCUUUCUCACCCCCACACCAUUGAAUCCCAAACCAUAAAAACAGAGGAAGAGACCAGAAAAAAAAAAAGGAAAUCAAAUACUCACACACCCGAACCAGCAGAAGGAAGAAAAAAUCAAGGCUCAAACAAAUCACUGCUUUUGUAUCUGCCCUAUUCGCUCAGAAGGUCGACAGCAAGAAAUUGAUAACAUCGAUUAAGGUAUAUUUCACAGCACUUUUAAAAAUUGCGAAUAUAUGAUCUUCGAUGUGAGUGUAUUUAGUUUCUAAUUCUAAAGAUUGUGACAGUAUUUAUCAUAUUGCUCUACUUGUUUAUCCUCUCCAAAAAGUAUGUAAAAGUCAGUGAGAUUUAUUGUUCUUGUUAACUAUUGUUGUGAAGUUUGUGUUGAAAUAAGGGUGUGGGGACUGAUGAAUUAAUGACAUGUAUGUAUUUUCUUUGUAUUAACUAAAUUGUUGCUGCUUUAAUUCAUGCCACAUGAUGACAAAUGUAUUGUCCGUUCCAAUUGAGGCUGCUUGGUUUUUUAUUCCCAUUGUGGGGGUGGAGUUCGGUUGCGAGGGAGUGGUAGGUAGGGGUAUGUUAUCAAAGAAGGCAGUAAAUUAUGUGGGGAAUAGAGAUGUUGAAGAGAGAUGCCAAAGCUUUGUUGAAACUAAUAGUUAAUGUCAAAGACCUAGUGACAGAAAUAAAUAAUCCCAGAAUUAUUUUAUGUUGUGUGUACCGCACAUUCUGGAAUAGUAUGAGAUGAAUAAAACUGGCAAGUGCCAUAGCCUAAUCUACU
rnacentral:lncRNA from 1 species